rnacentral:rRNA from 1 species
AGUGAACACUGGCGGUAGGCCUAACACAUGCAAGUCGAACGGCAGCACAGUAAGAGCUUGCUCUUACGGGUGGCGAGUGGCGGACGGGUGAGGAAUACAUCGGAAUCUACUUUUUCGUGGGGGAUAACGUAGGGAAACUUACGCUAAUACCGCAUACGACCUACGGGUGAAAGCAGGGGAUCUUCGGACCUUGCGCGAUUGAAUGAGCCGAUGUCGGAUUAGCUAGUUGGCGGGGUAAAGGCCCACCAAGGCGACGAUCCGUAGCUGGUCUGAGAGGAUGAUCAGCCACACUGGAACUGAGACACGGUCCAGACUCCUACGGGAGGCAGCAGUGGGGAAUAUUGGACAAUGGGCGCAAGCCUAAUCCAGCCAUACCGCGUGGGUGAAGAAGGCCUUCGGGUUGUAAAGCCCUUUUGUUGGGAAAGAAAAGCAGCAGGUUAAUACCCCGCUGUUCUGACGGUACCCAAAGAAUAAGCACCGGCUAACUUCGUG